rnacentral:lncRNA from 1 species
CAAAAUUAAGAAUUCUAGACAAAAUAGAACUCCUAAGAAUAUAGAAAUUACUAGAAAUUAAGAAUCCUAACUAAAAUAAAAGUCUCAUGAGAACAGGAAAAUUUUACCGAAGUUAUAGACCUUAUCUCUAAUCAAUCAAGAACAUGAAAUGAUCUGUCUCCUCUCGGACGCAAUUUGGACCUCUUUUGAACUUGAACCCGCCACCUUCAGUUGUAAACCCAAUCACCAUCAACUGGAUCAAAGUGUGCUCACCUCAACUGCUUGAUCUUGCCAGUUUGGAAUGCUCCAAUAGCAACUCCAUCUGAUGAAAUCCAUGCAUUCUCCUUGCUUUACUUGGCCUAUGCACUUGUAACAAUAUCACUUCCAAUCUACCAAUAUUACCUUUUCGAUCAUCUACUUCACUCAGUCCUUUGCAUAUGAGAUCCUUCCAAUGCUUUUGGAACUCCUUUAUCUCCUCGGGAAUCACAAAGUCAAUUUCUGGCAAACAAGAGAAAUCCAAUUGAAGCUCAAUUCCUAGAUCGGGUGGUAUUCCAAUAGGAUUGUGUUCUGGAAUCAAGUUUUCAACAACCUGCAAAAUAGAAUUAACCAAACUAGGGAGGGAAUUGUUAAGUUUCAUGAUGACCUCCUCAACUUCAGGCUUCCUUUCAAUUAAAAUCACUUCCAGCUCCUCCUUCCCUUUCAAAGACUCUUCUUCAUUUUCUUUCUGCAAAUCUACUUCCCCUUUUGGAUUUUUACUCUCAACUUCUUUUUCACUCUCUUGUGGUCUUUUUCCUUUUACCUCACAACAAACCACCUCACAAUUUUCUCUCUUAUCCUUUUGUUCCUCCAUGUGAGUUUUCUGAGAGUUAAUCAAGUUACGAAUCUCUGAAAGUUCAGGCUCAUAAUCCAACCCAAUCCUCCUACUAGAUGUAUGAUCAACAUGCUUCACAAACGAUGUUUUCUCUUCCCUUGAAUACCCAAUUCCACUAUAUCUUCUAGGCUCCUGUCUAGAUUCCCGCUCACCCGCUUAUAAAAAUAAUUAGGCGUAUAUCGCUUCCUCAUUAUAGUCCUCAAUUCAUCCCAAUUUUCAAUAUGUCUAUCUCUGUUCCCCUGCUUAGAUUUUGUCAACUGAUCUCACCAAAUAAUUGCAUAAUCUACAAACGUGUUCACAACUAACUUUAAAUUUCUCUCCCCGGAGUAAUCGUGGCAAUCAAACACUAAUUUUACCCGUUCUUCCAUGCCAUGCAUGCCUCGGGAUCGUUCCUACCAUUAAAUUGUGGAAUUGUCAUCCUUUCAUGUCUCAAUCUCCCAUCAAUACCGUUUCCAACCAAAUUUCUAUAUCGCCCUUCAAUCCUCUCCAUCCUAUCCCCUAUAUCCUUUAACAUUCUCUCCAACCGUCAAAGCAACCUCCAAACAUUUUGAAUUGAAAUCCAAUUAAGUAGUGUGACUUAAGGACUCAAAAAGAAUUUAAAGUAGACAACUUUGAUUAAAACUUUUAUAAAUUCAAGAAAGUAGUUCUUGAAUUGGAAUUUGACCCAACAAAAAUAGAAUUUGAUUCAAAUGAAUAAUUGGCAAUUCUUUUUUUUUUUUU